UACGUAGGGGGCUAGCGUUGUCCGGAAUCAUUGGGCGUAAAGCGCGCGUAGGCGGCCAGAUAAGUCCGGUGUGAAAGUCACAGGCUCAACCUGUGAAUGCCGCUGGAAACUGUCUGGCUAGAGUCCGGAAGGGGCGAGUGGAAUUCCUGGUGUAGCGGUGAAAAUGCGCAGAUAUCAGGAGGAACACCAAUGGCGAAGGCAGCUCGCUGGAACGGUACUGACGCUGAGGCGCGAAAGCGUGGGGAGCGAACAGG
rnacentral:rRNA from 1 species